AAACCCACCUCCGCCAAACUGACACACCCGGACCUCAUGACAUGCUUCUAGCCCCCGGCCCUAAGGACCCAGUGUUUUAUUUUUACCAUUCCAAAUGGAACUUCAUAAUUAUUAUAGUAAUUACAAUUUUAACAAACCGUCUGUGAACCCUGAUAAGAUUUAGCUUUCUGCCGCUAAAUAGGUUGAAUGAACCUCUCAGACAAAAAAGCUUGGUCCUGGCUUUACUAUCAGCUAUAGCUAAACUUACACAUGCAAGUCUCCGCACCCCUGUGAAAAUGCCCAUCAUCCCCCGCCCGGGGAUAAGGAGCCGGCAUCAGGCACAAUAUCUGGCCCACGACGCCUUGCUCAGCCACACCCCCACGGGAAUUCAGCAGUGAUAAACAUUAAGCUAUGAGUGAAAACUUGACUUAAUUAAUGCUAAGAGGGUCGGUAAACCUCGUGCCAGCCACCGCGGUUAUACGAGGGACCCAAGUUGAUGGACUACGGCGUAAAGCGUGGUUAGGGAAAAUUUUAAACUAAAGCCGAAGGCUCAUCAGGGCUGUUAUACGCACACGAGAGUAUGAAGAACAACAACGAAAGUGGCUUUACCCCUCCUGACCCCACGAAAGCUAAGAAACAAACUGGGAUUAGAUACCCCACUAUGCUUAGCCCUAAACAUUGAUUGUGGCCUACACCCCACAUCCGCCCGGGAACUACGAACAUCAGUUUGAAACCCAAAGGACUUGGCGGUGCUUUAUACCCACCUAGAGGAGCCUGUUCUGGAACCGAUAGUCCCCGUUCAACCUCACCCUCUUUUGCUCCUUCCCGCCUAUAUACCGCCGUCGUAAGCUUACCCUGUGAAGGAUAAAUAGUGAGCUCAAUUGGUACAGCCCAGCACGUCAGGUCGAGGUGUAGCGAAUAAGAGGGGAAGAAAUGGGCUACAUUCGCUAGCUUAGCGAAAACGAAUAAUGCAUUGAAACAUGUCAUUUGAAGGAGGAUUUAGAAGUAAGUAGAAAAUAGAGCGUUCUACUGAAGCUGGCUCUGAAGCGUGCACACACCGCCCGUCACCCUCUCCGACUUACCCAUUUUAUAACACUACUUAAAACGUUUCCUACCCUGAGGAGAGGAAAGUCGUAACAUGGUAAGCGUAGCGGAAGCUGCGCUUGGACAAAAU
rnacentral:ncRNA from 1 species